GAGCCAGCGUGCCGGACUGUGGAGACACGAAGCUGCUUGGCUUUUCUUGUGCUUGAGGCCUGUAACCCCUUACUCUGUGACACCACAAUGUCACUGCUGGCCAGCCAUUGUGUCUGCUGAUUUAUUUUAUACUCACAUUGCCCGAUGUGGUGUGUGUAAUUAUCGUUACUCUCACCUCACAGACAGGGAGACAAAGCUUCCUGGAGGCUGAUUUGCUUGAUCUUCUGUGUAAGUGGCAGAGCCGAGGAACCACAGGCAUUGAAGUGGAGGGUAAGUACGCAGACCCUGGUGAAAGCAAGCUUUGCCAUACUUGGACAAUUGGCUUGGCUUCUUGGAACCUCAGUUCCUCCAUCUGUAAAAUGCAUCUUCAAGUUCUCAGCUGUUCCUAGACUUCUCCAUCUUCUUCCUGGCCUGUUUUCUCCCACUAGGUCAUGCUGGUCAGCUUUUAAAGCUACAUGCGUGCCGAUGGCCCAAGUGUCUGUCUUCAGUCUAGCUCCUCUGAAUGAUGGGGUUUUAGUCACGUGACCAUCCCCAUUUGACCAAUUCUCUGCACCCACAGGUUAGCAAAUAGUGCCAUUGUUUUUCCUCCCCAAGUCUCUCCUGCCCAGUCUUUCCCACCUCAGUGCCUGCUGCUACCAUUUGCCCAGACCAGCUCAUCAUAGCUUAAACCAGACUCUUGUUUUUAUUCACUUUGUAAUUAAUCUCUCAGUAUACAGCUUGUCUGCUCAGCCUCCAGGAUGUAUCCUCAGUGUAGUCCGCCUUCAUGGUUCCCACAGCCUAGGCUGCUGUAUCAGCUUGGGGUCCUUAGCCUGCAUCACUAAUGGGUCUUUUUGCCUGUGUCCUUGCUUCCUGGUUUAUCCGUGAUUCUCACCUCUGCUUAAAAGUCCUCCAUGCUGGUCUGGGGAGACGGCUCAGGAGGCCUAGCACUUGCCACGGGAGUAUGAGGAUGUGAGCUCAGAUCCCCAGAAGCCAUAUGAAGCUGAACACAGGAGCAGAGGCUGACAUCCCAGUGCUCCAGUGAGGAGACAAGAAGUGGAGACUAACAGAACUAACCCCUGAAGCUCAAGGGCUAGCAGUGGUGAGCUAUUAGAGGCCCUGCUUCCAACAAGGCCGAAGUGGGGGACCAACACCAGAGGAUAACCUUUGCAGACACACCGUGUGCUUGCAUUCACAUACAACAACACAGACACAUACCACACACACCCCAGACAUACACACACACACAUACACACAUACCAGACAUACACAUACACCAGACAUACACACACACCCCAGACAUGCAUAUACACACAUACACACACCACACACACAUCAG
rnacentral:lncRNA from 1 species